rnacentral:rRNA from 1 species
UACGAAGGGGGCUAGCGUUGCUCGGAUUGACUGGGCGUAAAGGGCGCGUAGGCGGUUUGCAUAGUCAGACGUGAAAUUCCUGGGCUUAACCUGGGGGCUGCGUUUGAUACAUGCAGGCUUGAGUUCGGAAGAGGGGUCGUGGAAUUCCCAGUGUAGAGGUGAAAUUCGUAGAUAUUGGGAAGAACACCGGGUGGCGAAGGCGGCGACCUGGUCCGAUACUGACGCUGAGGCGCGAAACGUGGGGGAGCAAACAGG